rnacentral:lncRNA from 1 species
CGAAGUCUUCCGGUACGGAGAACUUCAGCCAAUCCUCCUUUUCUCCUCAUUCCCUGUUAGAUCCUGUUUGCUACGUAUCACAUAUUUUUGUUUUCUCAGAUGCUGGACGCUUGGAUGCUAAAGUUUGUGUUUCUUUGUUGAUUCUCCUUCUCAGGGUGCUGGAUGACUUGGAUACUACAGCUGGUGUCUUUGUGCAUUUUUCCUUGCUGCGUACUGAUACAUACUCUUCUUAUCUGUUGCUAAAACUAUUUUCGUUUAUUUGCCUGAAUGAACAAAUACGGUUUGCAAGUUUGUGCUUUUUUGUUGAUUCUCUCUUAUUUUGUUUUUCUCAGGUACUGCACACCUUGGAUGCUAAAGUUUGUGUUUUCUUUGUUGAGUUUCCCUCUCAGGGUGCUGGCCAACUUGGAUGCUAAGGUUAGUGUUUUAGUUGAUUCUUCCUUGCUGCAUAUCGCUACGUAUUCAUCUUAUAUAUUGCUAAAUCUGUUUUUUAUUUGUUUGCUUGAAUGAUAUUGCCAGCUCAAUCAUCCAAGUAUAGUAACUGGUCGGUUGACGGUCGAUCAAUGCAUCGUCUUAGUUAUAUAAUUUACUUUUGUCAAAUCUUAUUCCAAAUUUCCGUGAAGCAUAUCUCAGUCACCUACUCAGUAUCUAUUUUCUUCUGUUUCAAAUUCUGAGUGAAAUGAUUGUGCAUGAUAGCCAGAAAUCCAUUAUUUGACAAUACCACUACAGCCACUGGUCACCAUCUUCCCAUGAUUCCAUCUCAUCUUGAUUUUAAACAUUAGAUUCGAUCCAAUCUUUCACUUCCUUUGUUCUUGCAAUUGUUUUGCUGGUACAAGCAUAUGUUUCUUUCAGUUCUCUCAUUUAUCUCUCCGUCUUUAUUGCUAAAGUAUUAACCGAAGGUUCUCUUCACAAUAUAUAAUGAACAAGUGGUAUCAAUUUCUCUCAUUUGCAGGAGAUUUUCAAGCAAUAGAAGAAAGGUGUUGAUGGAUUCUGGAGAUGACCACCUCUCUCUCAACAGUCACUCAAGUAGCAGCUUCUGGAAUUGGUCGCUGGUCUCUCUCUCUCUCUCAACUUUUUUUUUUGAAUUUUGUCUUAUACCAUGUGUAUAAGGUGCCGUUUAUUUUGUUUGAGCGAAGAUCCUUG